rnacentral:lncRNA from 1 species
UCAAAAGAAAAUGACUCGCACGGAUAUCGCAUCCACUGCAUACGUAUCUCAUCUGAGUAUGAGAAUCAGAGUCUUCGAAGCUCGGCUACCUAUGGGUUAAAAAGAAGUGUGCUCGCUAAGACAUCGCGUCUUAUGCCUACGUAUCUCAUCUGGAAUGAGAAUCAGAGCAAAACGUAGUUCAUCUAACUACGGGAAUAAGGGUCUCAAUUGUAACUAGGGAAAGAGAAAGGGAAGGUCUCG